GCCUUAGCUGCCGGAGGUUCCGCACUCUCUAAGGCCCCGGGUGAAGCCCCACCUCUGCUGCGCGCAGCCUGCGGUGCGGGUCAUGGCGCGGCUACCGAAGCUGGCAGUCUUUGAUUUGGGUGAGGGACGGGAAGGGGAGAAUUUCGUAAGGUGCUCUCCUUUUCCACAUCCCUAACAGCAGCUCCCGAAUCCCUGCAUCUCCCGCCCCAGGCUGAACCUUCCCUCUCCUUCCUCUCGCAGAUUACACUCUCUGGCCUUUCUGGGUCGACACGCACGUAGACCCUCCGUUCCAUAAGAGCAGGUGAGGUAGGGACAGGGAAGACUGGGGGCGAGAUAGGACCCAGCCAGGGCUGAGCGCACUCUUGCCCUCUCCAGUGAUGGAACUGUACGAGAUAGGCGGGGCCAAGACGUCCGACUGUACCCAGAGGUGCCUGAGGUCCUAAAACGAUUGCAGAGCCUUGGGGUGCCCGGUGCGGCUGCUUCAAGGACAAGUGAGAUAGAAGGGGCCAACCAGCUACUGGAGCUCUUUGACCUCUUCAGGUACUUUGUUCAUCGGGAAAUCUAUCCAGGCAGCAAGAUCACACACUUUGAGAGGUUGCAGCAGAAGACUGGAAUUCCUUUCUCCCAGAUGAUCUUCUUUGAUGAUGAGAGGCGGAAUAUUGUAGACGUCAGCAAACUGGGUGUUACCUGCAUUCACAUCCAGAAUGGAAUGAAUCUUCAAACUCUAAGUCAAGGGUUAGAGACAUUUGCGAAGGCCCAAACUGGGCCUUUGAGGUCCAGCCUUGAGGAGAGCCCAUUUGAGGCCUAAACUGAAAGGAAAUCAAGAAGGCAUUUUCAGGGAAGAAGGAGAAAGGGCCAACCCCUGAAGAAGCAAUACAGAAACUGAAGGAGACAGAGAAGAUACUGAUCAAGAAACAGGAAUUUUUGGAGCAGAAGAUUCAACAGGAGCUACAAACAGCCAAGAAGUAUGGGACCAAGAAUAAGAGAGCUGCCCUACAGGCUUUGCGGAGGAAGAAAAGAUUCGAACAGCAGCUGGCACAAACUGACGGGACAUUAUCCACCCUGGAGUUUCAGCGUGAGGCCAUUGAGAAUGCCACUACCAAUGCAGAAGUCCUUCGUACCAUGGAGCUUGCUGCCCAAAGCAUGAAGAAGGCCUACCAGGACAUGGACAUUGACAAGGUAGAUGAACUGAUGACUGACAUCACGGAACAACAGGAGGUGGCCCAGCAGAUCUCAGAUGCCAUUUCUCGGCCUAUGGGC
rnacentral:lncRNA from 1 species